rnacentral:rRNA from 1 species
CAGUAGCCGCGGUAAUACGGAGGGGGCUAGCGUUGUUCGGAAUUACUGGGCGUAAAGCGCACGUAGGCGGCUUGGUAAGUUAGAGGUGAAAGCCCGGAGCUCGACUCCGGAAUUGCCUUUAAGACUGCCGAGCUAGUAGGUGAGAGAGGUAAGCGGAAUUCCGAGUGUAGAGGUGAAAUUCGUAGAUAUUCGGAAGAACACCAGUGGCGAAGGCGGCUUACUGGCUCAUCCUAGACGCUGAGGUGCGAAAGCGUGGGGAGCAAACAGGAUUAGAUACCCGUGUAGUCCCUGUCUCUUAUAC